rnacentral:rRNA from 1 species
UACGUAGGGUGCAAGCGUUGUCCGGAAUUAUUGGGCGUAAAGAGCUCGUAGGCGGUCUGUCGCGUCUGCUGUGAAAACUCAGGGCUUAACCCUGAGCUUGCAGUGGGUACGGGCAGACUAGAGUGCGGUAGGGGAGACUGGAAUUCCUGGUGUAGCGGUGAAAUGCGCAGAUAUCAGGAGGAACACCGGUGGCGAAGGCGGGUCUCUGGACGGUGACUGACGCUGAGACGCGAAAGCGUGGGGAGCAAACAGG